rnacentral:lncRNA from 1 species
CAGGAUCAGCUUUGACAUUAACGUCUUGUAAAUGAGUAGAAAGAGCAGGAUCUGGCCCAGGGUGCAAGCCGGGGGAUGGACUGGCUGCUCUGCUCUGCCUUUGUGAGCAUGCUUGCGAGAGUGCCUCUGUGUAGAGGUGUGCUCUAAGUGGUAAUUAAUGUGGCUCACCAAUGAUCUAAGGAGGCAUAAGUGAUGGAAAAGGGAAAUUUAUUAGUAUGUAUAUAUUCAGAUUCCUUCUCUCAGCAAGAUUUAUGAUCAGAAGUGCCUGGACAACUACUGUGGUUUCAUUCAUCUAUAUGAGGAAGGAACUGGAAAGACUCAUUCAGACAAAAGUGCUGGCUGCACAUUUGGGCAAAGUGCUGACUUGCUUUUGUUGCUGUGUGCGUGGUGCCAUCUCUGAGCCCGACGAUGAUGACCUAGAAGCACCAGCACGGAACAGCCCAAUGUCCUACUCUAGAAAAGAUCACCAGGCCUGUUGGGAAGACCAGCUUUUUGAUCCACCUCAAGCUCCAUUUCAGCCAGACAUGAGGCAGCUUCCAUGAAGACAUGCCUAAGGCUAGUGUUGUGCCAGUGCCACCAUUACUUUGGUCACACAAAUGAUGUUGAUGGUUGCUUCUGUUGGCCUGAGAGACACUCUCUCCUGGGGAAUGGAUGGAUGGGACAACAGUCACCCCAUCUACUCCUGUAUCUUCUUCCCUGUGUGGUUCGGAAAGUUUUGCUGUGGUAUCUAGAGUAUUUUCAACUGGUUCAGCAGUCAUUGAACCAGUUUAUGUGUAUCUGCAAAACAUGACUAAAAGAUCUCAAAAGGAAAAUGAAACAAGCCAAGGAUGUCUUUUGUUUGAGAUACUGAUCUAAGACUCAGAAGAUGUGGAAGAUCCAUUGCCAGCUGGGUGACAGAUCUUCAUUGCUAAUUUAGCCUCAGAGUUAUACUACCUCUCUGUACUUCUUUCUCUACCUUCUGUUUGCACUGCACUUUGUCUCUUUAGGAGAUAUAUGCCAUGGGGCAUUGAUUAUGUAUCUCUGUGGUUAUACAGAGCUUGGUGCUGUGGUAGAUCACUCUGGAUGCUACCAGUAGCAACAAAUAAUAAAAACAACUGUGAUAACUUAUUUGGCA